rnacentral:misc_RNA from 1 species
GAUGAAGAACGUAGCGAAAUGCGAUACUUGGUGUGAAUUGCAGAAUCCCGUGAACCAUCGAGUCUUUGAACGCAAGUUGCGCCCGAAGCUAUUAGGCCGAGGGCACGCCUGCCUGGGCGUCACACGUCGUUGCCCCCCCAUCUACUCCUUCGGGAUUGCGGGGGGCGGAUGAUGGCCUCUCGUGCGCCUCGUCGCGCGGUUGGCCUAAAUGCCAAGUCCUCGGCGACGCACGCCACGACAAUCGGUGGUUGCGAAACCUCGGUUGCCUGUCGUGUGCGGUCGUCGCGCAUCGAGGGCUCGAAAAAAUUGCCGGGCUUCGGCUCGACUUUCAACGCGACCCCAGGUCAGGCGGGGUUACCCGCUGAAUUUAAGCAUAUCAAUAAGCGGAGGA